ensembl:lncRNA novel transcript
AGGAAAACCCAUCCCGGAGGAAGCUGGCGGUUAGGCUGGCUGAAGGCAUUCUGCAUGAUGAACACAACAGUUCUCAAAAAAGUAAUGAUGUCAUACCAGAGCAGCAGGAGGGGGUGGUCUGUGACCAUGUAUGCUUGAUAAAUUCUGGAUUUAAGCAAAGUAGGCCGGCUUCUUUGUCAAUAGACGUAUUGGGUUAUUCCCGGGGGGGCUGCAGCCGGAGCACCUCCCACUCCUUCGCAGGGGUUAUUUCUGAAGACCCCCUCUUGGAGGAGCUCUGCUAGGGCCCUGCGUGCACCUGCUGCCCUGGCAUCCUGGCCAGCAGCUCCGCCAGGCUCUAGUGUGUAUGGCCUGGGCUACCUCCCGGUACUGUCGCCGCAGGCCUUGGGACCCGUUCCCGCCGCGAGGCUCCCGAGGUAGCCCCGGCCUCCGGUUCUUCUCAGAUAGCCCCGUCGUCCAGCCCCAGAAGCGGGCACUAAUGCCUUCCCUGAACGCUGAAAGUUGUUGAAUGGAUAUGGACAAUGAUUAGAAUCAUGUAGAAAACAUUAAGUGAUGGUCAGUAUGUUCUGUUUGGGAAAUACUGAAAUGUGCAACACAAGCUAGAAAUAACAACAUGCAGAACAGCACAACUUUGUAAGACCCGCGCUGAAGGAGGCAGCAUUUGUGUGAGAGCGCCCGGCGCUGCCCAGAAGAGCUGGAACGCCCAAGGAAGGCCGCUGCUCAGCGCAGGACCCCUGGGCUCCCGGAAACGGGAUAGCGUUGCUUAUCUUUAAGCUCGUUGCUGUUCCUCCUAGAGUUGCAGAUUCAAGGGGCCUCACCAGUGACUGUGAUGACUGUAAAACCCAGGCUUGUGGGUGCUAUCUGGACACCAAGGAGACAGAGGCACAUGGCACCACCCAGGACAAGCACUGAAGUUGGACUACCAGGUUCAAAUCCCAGCUCCCCACCUUUAACUGUGUGACCGGGCCUUGGGGAAGUUAUUUCAAUUUUCUCUGCCCCCUGUCUAUCAAGCAUGGUGGUUGAUAACACCUAUUUUUCAGAACCACAGUGAGAAUUGUGGAGAUGCUCUAUUUGAGAUGUACAGGGUUCUCAGCUUACAGGCAGCACUCAGCGAAUGUUAAUUAUCAUUAUCCAAAACUGGGAUCCCCAGCAGGAGCAGCCCCAGCGCUCCCAUGAGGCUUGGUUCGACCUGAAUGAUUGACACUGCCAAGAGCAACAUCACCUUCCCUCUCCAAGCCUGAUGGCCCCUUCUCUGGGUCUCCGUCAUGACAGAAGUGGCCCAGCCAGCUAACCCUCUGUCCAGGCCCUCCAGUGGCAUGAGAGGUCCACUUUCCUGAGAUGAGCCUCCAGCCAUCUGGAACUAGCCUGUUCCUCCCUCCCUCUGUUCCUGCCCUCCCGAAGCCCACAGUCCCUCAGACCCGCAGUUUGGUCCCAGCUCCCUCACUGCACCCCACCUGAUGCCAUCUCUCCCAGCCAUGCAGAGCAGAGCCCUGAUGCCUGACCCAGAGCUGAUGUUCCUUUCCGGGAUGAUAUGAAGCAUCAGAGAGGAUGUUCCAGCCCUGGGGAAGCCCAGCAUGAUUGGUUCUUCCUCUAACAACAUUUACACACUUGACAUCAUCCACUUAACAUUUUAUCGGUAAAGGAGCUAUGGCAACAUGAGCUCACCUGACUGAGAAGGAAACUGAUUCCACUUAUAAAAGGGAACUUGUAACAGCAACAUGUGUUCCAAACCCAGGAGCACCUGGGCCUAAAUCCUGCUCUCCUUCUUACUCCAGGCAUAAGGAAGCCUGGCUGUUGCCAGCCUCUCACCUGCAGAAGAUGCACCUCAUAGCACCCUGGACAGGUGAACCAAGACACAUCACUGAAGUGCCAAUACAUGCACCCCUGAGGGCCCAAAGCCAACCUGAGGGCUCUGCCUGCCUGGCUCCCUGCACCCGAGUCCCCAGAAACGUGCUCACAGCACAGGGAGCUCCAGAGCCCAAGCCUCGGAGUGUUGGAAAACAACAUCAACAUGAGAAAUGGGUGCUAGGAGUACCUUUGUAGGUGACAUUAAAAUGCUUACAUUAGAUAGCAGAGAUGAGACCAAAGAAACUGGGGGGAGGGGGUGCCCCCAGCCCUGACACUGUGGGCCUUUGCCUGUAUGCAGCCUUUGCCCUGCAAGGGACAGCAGCUUCCUCUGCCUAUAAUACCUGCAAGCCUCCCAUUCUCAUGGAGUGCUUCCUUUUGGCUUUUUGCUUUUAGGUUUCUUUUGUUUGUUUUUAAUUUUAAGAAUAACCUGUUUGGAGAGCUGGGCAUGGGGGCUUGUUCCUAUAGUACCAGCUUCUCAGAAGGCUGAGGCAGAAGGAUCACUUAAGCCUAAGAGUUUGAGACCAGCUCUCAUAUAGUGAGACCUUGUCUCUAAAGAAAAGAAAGAAAAAGAACCUGUUUGGACACACAAAAUCUAACUUUUCCCCCUCUCUUCCUGAUCCCUUUCCAGCAGUGCUUUGGGGCUGAGCAGUAAAAUCCAAAAGAGAUUCAGUUGGGUAAAAUACUAAAAUCUAGCCAGGCACAGUGGCUUGCACCUGUAACCCCAGCACUUUGGGAGGCUAAGGCGGGAGGAUCACUUGAACCCAGGAGUUUGAGACCAGCC